UGACCCUUAGAAGACUGAGAUGAGCCC
rnacentral:piRNA from 1 species